AGCGAACGCUGGCGGCAGGCCUAACACAUGCAAGUCGAACGGAUCCUUCGGGAUUAGUGGCGGACGGGUGAGUAACACGUGGGAACGUGCCCUUUGGUUCGGAACAACUCAGGGAAACUUGAGCUAAUACCGGAUGUGGCCUUCGGGGAAAGAUUUAUCGCCAUUGGAGCGGCCCGCGUCUGAUUAGCUAGUUGGUGAGGUAAAGGCUCACCAAGGCGACGAUCAGUAGCUGGUCUGAGAGGAUGAUCAGCCACAUUGGGACUGAGACACGGCCCAAACUCCUACGGGAGGCAGCAGUGGGGAAUCUUGCGCAAUGGGCGAAAGCCUGACGCAGCCAUGCCGCGUGAAUGAUGAAGGUCUUAGGAUUGUAAAAUUCCUUCACCGGGGACGAUAAUGACGGUACCCGGAGAAGAAGCCCCGGCUAACUUCGUGUCAGCCGCCGCAGUAA
rnacentral:rRNA from 1 species